ensembl:lncRNA
GUAAGAUUGUGCUCCUCAAAGAAAACUCAUACAGGCUUCAGAGUAAUUAAUGGCAGGAUGGACGCAGCGAGGUCAUAGAAAGUAAUAUAAAAUAUUCUUAGUAAGUAUAGUAAUUGCAUAGAUGGAGAAUCAAGUGUAGUAUUCGAAGAUCUUAAUUAUAGAGUUGUGAAGUCCUAAUAGGUGGUAUAAUGAGGCGAACAAGCUCUAAAACGAACUAAUUGUGUCUUAAUGACAUCUUUAAUGUGGAAAUGAAACAAUGGCGUCUGCUCCAGAGAGAAGCUGACUUCAUCUGUGGCUGUCAUUGGCAGACUGGACUCUUCUUCAUCAGGAGGGAGGAGAUUUUCUCCGGCACACCCAGAUUAGGAGUUUAAAUGAGCUCUAGUAUGCACUGCAGAUGCUAUGAAACGCAGAAGAGAUGUUUUCCAGAAGAACCCAUUCGGUGAGCUCAGAAAAACAGCAGUCCGGAGCUGUUAUUUCCCAGCCGUCCCAGUUCUCCCUGGAGGAUGGAUGCAAUUUCCACACAGAAAACAACAUUUGGAUCUGCUGGAAGUGGAACAAAGCUCCAUAGAGAGCAUCAACAUGGUGCAUAAGUUCAUGAAUUUAAACAAUCCAGUAUAAAUGCUUGGUUUGACCUUUACGGUGCAGAAGAGUGACCCACAAACCCCAGCAGUGUCCUGGAUCAUGAGCUGUCUUCAGCAUCUGCUCUCAAACUCUUGCAGCAAAAGUAUCAUAAGUAUCUUGAGGGGCCUUCAAAUGCUGUCUUUGACAGUGAGGUGCCUCAGAGUCAGAAAGAUCAAGAGUUAUCUGUGGUGACACAAGCUUCACAAAUGAACAGUAAACCUCCAGAAAGAUCUGAAGAAUCUAAUGAAUUCAGCUGACGUUGGAGAACAUGUUCCUCCAGUUUAGCAUCUGAAAGGACUGUUCCUGUCUGAGGGAAUUACAGGGACAGCUGCAGGCAUUGACGCCCUGCGGGAUACUGACCCCAAACCCCAGAGAUUACCAGCGCCUGGCCCCCC